GACGAGCGCUGGCGGCGUGCUUAACACAUGCAAGUCGAACGGAAAGGCCCUGCUUUUGUGGGGUGCUCGAGUGGCGAACGGGUGAGUAACACGUGAGUAAACUGCCCUUGACUUUGGGAUAACUUCAGGAAACUGGGGCUAAUACAGGAUAGGAGAUCCUGCUGCAUGGUGGGGGUUGGAAAGUUUCGGCGGUUGGGGAUGGACUAGAGGCUUAUCAGCUUGUUGGUGGGGUAGUGGCUUACCAAGGUUGUGACGGGUAGCCGGCCUGAGAGGGUGACCGGCCACAUGGGGACUGAGAGACGGCCCAGACGCCAACGGUAGGCAGAAGUGGGGAAUAUGGCACAAUGGGCGGAAGCCUGAGGCAGCAACGCCGCGAGCGUGAUGACGGCCUUCGGGGUGUAAACCGCUUUCGCCUGUGACGAAGCGGUAGUGACGGUAAUGGGUAAAGAAGCACCGGCUAACUACGUG
rnacentral:rRNA from 1 species